AAGCAUGCACUUUGUGAGGAGGGCGCUGAGUUACACUGGAGAGCGAGAGGCACGAACUGAAGCCAGAAGAGGGCCGAUCAUUUGGCAUCGUGGUGUACGGGCCACCCAAAAGAAAAAUAUUAUCUUUGACAAACCAUCAAAUUUAGGUGUAUUUUAGGAACUUCGGAUCUAGAUAACGCAUUUGGUAAGUUUAAGCACCUGGAUUUGUACUUUGACGGUUCAUGUUUAAGGACCACCCAUGUAUUUC
rnacentral:lncRNA from 1 species